GACGAACCGUGCGAACGUUGUUCGGAUUCACUGGGCUUAAAGGGCGCGCAGGCGGCUGCUCAAGUCAGGCGUGAAAGGCCUGGGCUCAACCCGGGAAUUGCGCUUGAGACUGGGCUGGCUUGAGUGCGGGAGAGGAUGGUGGAAUUCCCAGUGUAGAGGUGAAAUUCGUAGAUAUUGGGAAGAACACCGGUGGCGAAGGCGGCCAUCUGGACCGCAACUGACGCUGAGGCGCGAAAGCGUGGGGAGCGAACAGG
rnacentral:rRNA from 1 species